rnacentral:rRNA from 1 species
GUAGGUGGCAAGCGUUGUCCGGAAUUAUUGGGCGUAAAGCGCGCGCAGGCGGUUCUUUAAGUCUGAUGUGAAAGCCCACGGCUCAACCGCGGAGGGUCAUUGGAAACUGGAGAACUUGAGUAAAGAAGAGGAAAGCGGAAUUCCACGUGUAGCGGUGAAAUGCGUAGAGAUGUGGAGGAACACCAGUGGCGAAGGCGGCUUUCUGGUCUGUAACUGACGCUGAGGCGCGAAAGCGUGGGGAGCAAACAGGGAUUAGAUACCCUGGUAGUCCACGCCGUAAACGAUGAGUGCUAAGUGUUAGGGGGUUUCCGCCCCCUUAGUGCUGCAGCUAACGCAUUAAGCACUCGCCUGGGGAGUACGGCCGCAAGGCUG